rnacentral:rRNA from 1 species
AGAUGCAAAUUUGCGAAAAUUAGCUAAUCUAAAAACUCCUUCUAAGUUCGGAUUGAAGGCUGAAACUCGCCUGCAUGAAGUUGGAAUCACUAGGAAUCCCUGGUCAACCAUACAGCGGGGAAUUCGUGCCAAGGCCUUGUACGCACCUCCCCCCACCCCAUGGAAGAUGGUUAUGCCCGAUGUCCUUACUAUAACCUUUUGAAGAAGGACGCCUAAGGGAAAAUUAUGGGCUGGGGGGAAAUCGGAACAAGG